UACGUAGGUGGCAAGCGAUACUCGGAAUCACUAGGCGUAAAGCGCAGGUAGGCGGUUCGGUAAGUCUUUUGUGAAAGCUCCUGGCUCAACUGGGAGAGGUCAAGGGAAACUACCGGACUAGAGUGUGGUAGGGGAUACUGGAAUUCCUGGUGUAGCGGUGAAAUGCGUAGAUAUCAGGAGGAAUACCUAUGGCGAAAGCAGGUAUCUGGGCCAUCACUGACGCUGAGCUGCGAAAGCUAGGGGAGCAAACAGG
rnacentral:rRNA from 1 species